rnacentral:rRNA from 1 species
UACGUAGGGUGCGAGCGUUAAUCGGAAUUACUGGGCGUAAAGGGCGCGCAGGCGGUCCUUCAAGUCGGGCGUGAAAGCCCCGGGCUCAACCUGGGAAUAGCGCUCGAGACUGAGGGACUUGAGGACGGGAGAGGAGAGUGGAAUUCCCAGUGUAGAGGUGAAAUUCGUAGAUAUUGGGAAGAACACCAAUGGCGAAGGCAGCUCUCUGGACCGUUACUGACGCUGAGGCGCGAAAGCGUGGGGAGCAAACAGG